UACAGAGGUCUCAAGCGUUGUUCGGAUUCAUUGGGCGUAAAGGGUGCGUAGGCGGCGCGGUAAGUCGGGUGUGAAAUCUCGGAGCUUAACUCCGAAACUGCAUUCGAUACUGCCGUGCUUGAGGACUGGAGAGGAGACUGGAAUUUACGGUGUAGCGGUGAAAAUGCGUAGAUAUCGUAAGGAAGACCAGUGGCGAAAGGCGGGUCUCUGGACCACUACUGACGCUGAGGCGCGAAAAGCUAGGGGGAGCAAACAGG
rnacentral:rRNA from 1 species